CAUGGCUUUUUUGAUAAUAAUUUAAGGUCUAAUCUGCUCAAUGAAUAUUAAAUAGCCGCAGUAUUUUGACUGUGCAAAGGUAGCAUAAUAAUUAGUUUCUUGAUUAGAAACUGGAAUGAAUGAUUGGACGAGAAAACUACUGUCUCUAUUUUAAAAGUUUUUGAAUUUUAUUUUUAAGUGAAAAAGCUUAAAUUUUUAUAAAAGACGAGAAGACCCUAUAGAGUUUAAUAUUUUGAAUUUAAUUAGUAUUUAGAAUUUUUUUUAAAUUUAUUUAUUUGGUUGGGGUGACGAAAAGAUUAAAAUAAUUCUUUAAAUAAUUAAUUAAAAAUUUUUAAAUUUUAAAACUAUAGUUUAUAAAACUAAAAUAAAUUACCUUAGGGAUAACAGCGUGAUUUUUCUUUAAAGUUCACAUUAAAAGAAAAGUUUGCGACCUCGAUGUUGGAUUAAAAUUAAUUUUUGGUGCAAUAACUUAAAAAUUAGGUCUGUUCGACCUUUAAAAUUUUACAUGAUCUGAGUUUAGACCGGCGUGAGCCAGGUUGGAUUCUAUCUUUAGAAAAUAUAUUAUACUUUAGUACGAAAGGACCAAGUAUAAAUUAAAUUAAUUG
rnacentral:rRNA from 1 species